UUUCCCUCAGGAUAGCUGGUGCAUUUUAAUGUUAUAUAAAAUAAUCUUAUCUGGUAAAGCGAAUGAUUAGAGGCCUUAGGGUCGAAACGAUCUUAACCUAUUCUCAAACUUUAAAUGGGUAAGAACCUUAACUUUCUUGAUAUGAAGUUUAAGGUUAUGAUAUAAUGUGCCCAGUGGGCCACUUUUGGUAAGCAGAACUGAAAUAAA
rnacentral:rRNA from 1 species